UUCCAGACUCCUACGGGAGGCAGCAGUGGGGAAUAUUGCACAAUGGGGGAAACCCUGAUGCAGCGACGCCGCGUGAGCGAUGAAGUAUUUCGGUAUGUAAAGCUCUAUCAGCAGGGAAGAAGAUGACGGUACCUGACUAAGAAGCCCCGGCUAACUACGUGCCAGCAGCCGCGGUAAUACGUAGGGGGCAAGCGUUAUCCGGAUUUACUGGGUGUAAAGGGAGCGUAGACGGCGAUGCAAGCCAGAUGUGAAAGCCCGGGGCUCAACCCCGGGACUGCAUUUGGAACUGUGUGGCUGGAGUGUCGGAGAGGCAGGCGGAAUUCCUAGUGUAGCGGUGAAAUGCGUAGAUAUUAGGAGGAACACCAGUGGCGAAGGCGGCCUGCUGGACGAUGACUGACGUUGAGGCCCGAAAGCGUGGGGAGCAAACAGGAUUAGAUACCCGUGUAUA
rnacentral:rRNA from 1 species